GUUCUGCCCAAGACAUUACGCUCUUGCCAGAUUGAUUUUUGACAGAAUAUUCCCUGCAUUAGUGUCUAAGUGAAUUCUUCUCGCUGUGAUAUCAAGGAACCAUACCCACUUGGUCAGCUUGCACAUACUCAGUAGAGAUACCAUGGACACACAUGCAGACUAUAGUGUACUAAAAUGUUUCAAAAUUCACAUGGAUGUAGCUAUUACCAAUAUGAAGUCCUGAAGGUAACCUUCCUCAGCAAAGGAUCCAUAACCAGACCAGCACUACUCACCUCCAUUCAGUGGUGCAUUAUGGAGCCUCUGUGUUGACUCUUGGGCAAUUCUGAGAGUCAAUACAGGUGUAAGGAAGUCAUCACAGGGCCUCCACAGGCAUGCAUGAACCCUGUAGUUUGUGCAUGCCCAUUAAGAAGAAUGUUGACUAUGAUGGCAGACCCAGUGGGACCAGCACAACAGAAAAUAAGGUAAUGUGCUCUGAACCUGUGGGCCACAAGGAGUUGUGAGGAUGGGAGGGGCUGUCCAGAAGGUGUCAUCCAUAGGCUGGGAAACAGUGGUGAAAUUUGUUGACAGAGCCACUAUAAAGAAGUUUGGACCUACUAGGCUUCCUUAAAAACCUCAGAUGUUGCUUCAAUGAUGCUUUAAUGAAACCUUGUACAUGGUUAAGAGGUGUGUAUAAGCUAUACCCCAAAUCUACAGGGCAAGACUUAUUUCCAUAUUGGGGGAGUGAACACAAGUUUUGGAACCAAUGCGAUUCAAACAAACUAUCUCACAGGAAAAGAAGAACAAGUUUUUUACAACUUGACAUUUUUAAAAAAUACACUCCAGUUACGGUGUGUCACUGCCAAAAUGAUAUAUAUAUAUAUAUAUUAAAUAGCAAGGGUCUUGGUUCAACAAGAGCUGGAGGCCAACCCUGCUUUAAAUGGCUAACCUUUAGCACUCAGGACUGCGUUUCCCAGAAUACACUGACAGAUCUUUUUUCUAGCUGAGCGUCAUGGGAAAUAAUUUGUGACCGAUGGAGUGUCUUAACAUAUAGUAACAUUAUAAUAUUAGAGUAUUCUGUGUGGCCAAAGGGGUCUGGGUGUACUUCAGUGUUAAUGUAUAAUCAAAAGUAACAUCACAUUCAUCCAUCAGGUACACACAACAAAGACCCACACUGAUAUAUGGAGCUUGUAUUAUGAACUUGUAAAGGUCUGGUCUCCUACUACUAGAGUAACUGCGCAGAACACGGUGACUGCCCCUUGGCACACUAACUCGGCAUCAUGGGAUACGGAGUCCGCAAUAGCUGGCGUGCCAAUUGUUAUGAAUUGCUUUUCGCCAUAAUGUCACGGCACAAUCUCACCUUAAAUUGGAAGCAGUUAUAAUAACACGGUUAAUCACUAAUGUGAAAAUGUGAAGUGGAUUUAAAAUUUAGGUUCAAAAUAGCAGAAGUCAGGAAAAUCCUCUAAGCCAGCUAUGCUUUCAUUUCAGCUACUCUGGCCUUACGUUAGAAUUUGCCCUGUGAAUUCUCACCUUAGUAAAUUAGCCUGUGAGUAUCUACAAUAGGGUUACAUACAACGAUUGCUCCCAUGAGAGAUGUAUUAUAGGCUCCUACUUCAAGGGUAAAUCUCACCCAUUCUGUAAAUAAAGUGCUGAUCGUUAGUGAAUUGAAAAUGAAAAUGUCUAAGUAAAUAGCCAAGCUGUGUCGAUACUUAAGUAAGAUAAUGUUUCCAAAUCAGCACUUUUUUUUGUCUGAAAUUUGUAAUUCAGUUUUCGAUUCACUAUCCCGCUGUGUUACUAAAGAGAUGCAGUUAUUCACGAACCUGUGAAUAGCUAGGAAUUCAUUGGGGAAUUGUAAAUUUAGGUUCCAAAUAGCAACUUUCAACAAUUCAGAGUUUAAUAAACAUUUUUACACUUUAUGGUGAGUAUGUCUCUCUAUAAAGAAUAAUAAUCUCUUCCUUACAGUGAACUGGACAAACGUAUCACAAGCAUAGCUGAAAAGUCUUACCAUUACAUAUUCCUCAUUGUUUUUGGUGAUUUCCACCACGCAAUUGGUAGAAGAAAACACACAGUCAACAACUGCAUCCCCUGAGCCAGUCUGAUUUGAGCCUGUAAUGACUAUCCAGGCAUAGGCAACCUUCAGCACUCCAGAUGUUUUGGACUACACCUCCCAUGAUGCUUUGCCAACAUUAUGGGUGUAAGAG